GGUAUCAGUGAAUCUUAUAUCAUCACUUAUAGGUAAAGUUAAUGGAAACUGAAUAAGAACAUACUAUUCUCUGGAUUUUCGUCCAACAGACUUAACUUAAUUGCUGGAUUUGAUGAAUUUUCAUCAUAAGUUAUGGAUUCGACAGUCUCCCCAAAUUCCUCCUCACAAGAAGAGUUGUUGGAUAAUAAGUUUGUUUCACCCCGUCACCAAAAGCAAUUUGUGAUGCUCAACCUUGGGUCUUGCCUUCAUUGA